GGGACGAUAAUGACGGUACCUGGAGGAAGCCCCGGCUAACUACGUGCCAGCAGCCGCGGUAAGACGUAGGGGGCGAGCGUUGUCCGGAAUUACUGGGCGUAAAGGGCGCGUAGGCGGCCGCGCAAGUCGGACGUGAAAGGUCACGGCUCAACCGGGACAUAGCGUUCGAAACUGCACGGCUUGAGUGCAGCAGAGGAGGGCGGAAUUCCUGGUGUAGCGGUGAAAUGCGUAGAUACCAGGAGGAACACCAGUGGCGAAGGCGGCUCUCUGGACUGCAACUGACGCUGAGGCGCGAAAGCUGGGGGAGCGAACGGGAUUAGAUACCCCGGUAGUCCCAGCCGUAAACGAUGGUCACUAGGUGUAGGGGGUAUCGACCCCCCCUGUGCCGCAGCAAACGCAAUAAGUGACCCGCCUGGGGAGUACGGCCGCAAGGCUGAAACUCAAAGGAAUUGACGGGGGCCCGCACAAGCGGUGGAGUAUGUGGUUUAAUUCGACGCAACGCGAA
rnacentral:rRNA from 1 species